rnacentral:rRNA from 1 species
UACGAAGGGGGCUAGCGUUGCUCGGAAUUACUGGGCGUAAAGCGCACGUAGGCGGCUUUCUAAGUCGGGGUGAAAUCCUGGAGCUCAACUCCAGAACUGCCUUCGAUACUGGAGAGCUCGAGUCCGGGAGAGGUGAGUGGAACUGCGAGUGUAGAGGUGAAAUUCGUAGAUAUUCGCAAGAACACCAGUGGCGAAGGCGGCUCACUGGCCCGGUACUGACGCUGAGGUGCGAAAGCGUGGGAGCAAACAGGG